GACAGAGGUCUCGAGCGUUAGGCGGAAUCACUGGGCUUAAAGCGUGUGUAGGUGGAUGCCUAAGUACCUUGUGAAAUCCCACGGCUUAACCGUGGAACUGCUUGGUAUACUGGGUGUCUUGAGCCAGCUAGGGGCUACCGGAACAAAUGGUGGAGCGGUGAAAUGCGUAGAUAUCAUUUGGAACGCCAAUGAUGAAAACAGGUAGCUGGGGCUGUGCUGACACUGAGACACGAAAGCCAGGGGAGCGAACGGG
rnacentral:rRNA from 1 species